ensembl:lncRNA
GACGGAUCCACUGCGGCCGCACUGCAGGUUUAAGCUUGAACGGGUUGCGCAAGUUACGAAGGGGGUAGUUUUCACUAUGCUAGGAGAGUGGAGAGGCGGGACUAAGCAGGCAAGUGUGUGACCCUUCUCUGUGAUUGGUGGACAGAGAUUGAUGGUUGACAGACAGACGGAUAAAUAGAACGAGACAGACAGCAGAGAGGAGAGACGGGGAGAGAGAGAUGGCUCACAGUGUCAACUUUGACCUGACUGCUGAACACAUGGAGGCUGGCCUGGAGUGAGUAUCAAUACACUAUAUCAGUGGAGGCUGGCCUGGAGUGAGUAUCAAUACACUAUAUCAGUGGAGGCUGGCCUGGAGUGAGUAUCAAUACACUAUAUCAGGGGAGGCUGGCCUGGAGUGAGUAUCAAUACACUAUAUCAGGGGAGGCUGGCCUGGAGUGAGUAUCAAUACACUAUAUCAGGGAGGCUGGCCUGGAGUGAGUAUCAAUACACUAUAUCAGUGGAGGCUGGCCUGGAGUGAGUAUCAAUACACUAUAUCAGUGGAGGCUGGCCUGGAGUGAGUA